UUGCGAAUAGUCUGUCCUGUGAUAUGACCAAUCAUGUUUCAGAGGGGCGGGGAUCACCACGCAGUCCCUCUGUAGCUAAGGUGGGUGAUUCUUCAGGAGGGAGUCGCGAUUGAGCGGGAUUUGGAGAGAUGUGUUUAUAGCUCUGAAUUCCUUUCAGUUCUCAGUCAAGCAUCACGUGCAAUUGGAGAGAUUCCUUACGGCUUUUCUUGCGGUACCUAUAAAGACAAUUACCAAGUGGAAGAGAGACGCGCACUCCGACGCUCAUCACUUUUGUUUUCUCACCUGCACAAGCAGUGAACAGGAGAGGUACUUGUCAUGGAUCAGGAGAAAUACUUACCGGAGCUGAUGGCCGAAAAAGAUACGCUGGACUCCACGUUUGUUCAUGCGAUGCGUCUGCUUGCCGAAGAAAUCGAAAAGUAUGAGGGGGAUGAGUUGAGAAAAGACGGUGACGUGAAGAAAUACCUCGAUGUCAUCAGUAACAAAAACAUCAAGCUCUUGGAAAGAGUACUCAUCCCAGUUCAACAGUACCCAAAGUUUAAUUUUGUUGGGAAGCUGUUGGGGCCACGGGGCAAUUCCAUGAAAAGAUUACAAGAAGAAACAGGAGCAAAGAUGUCCAUCCUCGGAAAAGGCUCCAUGAGGGACAAAGGAAAGGAAGAAGAGUUGAGGAAAAGCGGAGAGGCCAAGUAUGCCCAUUUGAGUAACGAUCUCCACGUUUUAAUUGAAGUCUUCGCUCCACCUGGAGAGGCCUAUUCCCGCAUGAGCCAUGCCUUGGAGGAGAUUAAGAAAUUCCUAGUUCCAGACUACAAUGAUGAGAUCAGACAGGAGCAGCUGAGGGAGCUCUCCUACUUGAACGGAGGAUCAGACGACACCAACAGAGGGAGGACUGUAAGGGGGCGGGGCUUACGGCUGGCUUCCACGACAACCACGCGGGGACGGGGAGGCGCAGCCCCCCCUCCUCCACCAGGCAGGGGGGCAGUUGCACCCAGGGGGACAGCGGGUACGCGGAGUGCACUGACACAAGCCACAUUAGCGAGAGGAGUACCUGCUCCCAGGGCCAGGGGAACACCAGGGAACCCCGGAUACAGACCCCCUCUGUUACCCGUCACACACGAAUCAUACGACGACUACGGCUAUGAUGAUGGAUAUGACGGUGAAUAUGAUGACCAGAGUUAUGAUGCCUAUGAGGAGAACUACAGCAAUCAGUCAAAGAGCAUUUCUGAAUAUUACGAAUAUGGCCAUGGAACCAAUGACGAAGCCUACAACAAUUACGAAGAGGAGUGGACUACAACCCGUCCGACGCUCAAAGCCCCAGCAGCAAGGAUCUCACGAGUGGGCUACAGAGAACAUCCCUAUGGUGUAACAUAUUGUGUGAACUGUUCGAUAAGGCUCUGAACUCUCAGUAUGGAACACACAGUAAACUCUUCCCAAGGGACUGCGGAGUGCCUUUACCUACCAGAAGAGUUGGGCACCACCUUAAAUUAGCUUUGUGCAAAUGACCAUGAUAUGCGGAUGGUUCUGUGGAUGUGUAGCAUCUUCCCUGUCCAAGUCAACCUGGCCAGGUGAAUGCAUAGACUAUAUCAUGCAUGUAGUCUGUUUGAUCACUAUGAUUAAGUUAGUCAUGUUAUACUAGUAUGUUGUGUUUCUAUACAACCUUCAAUGAAUUACAUGUUUAUACAGUAGAUUUGAUUGGAUUUGCCUUUGAUACAAGACAGUAUUGGUUUUCCCAGUUCACCAGGGUUUCACUAUAGUAAUCAUACUGUAGUUGCACCAGUAUCACCUCUCCCAUCUUUUCCAUCUCAGUGAGCAGAUCAUUACUUCAGACAUGAUGUGUUACCCAGGGGAAAGCACAGCCUCACUGCCCCACAGCCCCUCACCCACAGGCUGACUGCACCCAUGAUGUCAAACCCACAUUGACAGAGAGUAGCCAGGGGUUGUAGAGAGAUACGGUCAAAGGGAAUACUGUAGUGACUGCAGGCAUACCAGCCAUGAUGCUCGACAGAUACCUUUAAAGCUAACGGUGCGGAAGCACACUCAUGUUGAAGCAAACUAAGGACAAUAGUGUAAUCUGCCAUGUAUUGUAUAUAGACUCAGAAUCCAUUCAAAAAGAAGUGAUGAGUCUUUAUUUGUAAGUCCUAUUUUUAUAGUUCAGUUAUUUUCUCUGUUUCUAAAGCAUCCUGUCUAUCAUUUUAUUUUCUCCACAAAAGCCCCCGAAAAUGUAUUACAGGCAUGCAGAACUAAUAGAUUUUUACAUAACUGUAGUUCGACCUCAGAUGUCUGUUGACGUUUCUUUCUCUCUAUUUCCCCUCACUUCAGGAAGUGAAGUAUACAUCCUGUUUGUGUAUUAAGUAUUUUCUCUGCUUUCAUUCUACUGUGUAUGAACAAGGAAUCAGACAGGACAAAGGACAAACAGGAAAUGUGUUUUGCUUUCACUCAAAUGCUGACAUGCAGGGUUUGAAGUAAUGAGGUUCGUAAGUAAACAAUGCAGUUGAAAGUGUCCUGUGCCAUUUUUCAAUUUCAAGACAUCAACACAACAGGUCAAACGUUAUAAUGCAGCU